ACUGAUGAGUAGUCCCACAUAGGACGAAACGCGCGUCCUGGAU
rfam:Schistosoma margrebowiei strain Zambia genome assembly, scaffold: SMRZ_contig0002963